rnacentral:rRNA from 1 species
UCAAACGAGAGUUUGAUCCCGGCUCAGAAUCAACGCUGGCGGCGCGCUUAACACAUGCAAGUCGAGCGAGAAAGCGGGGCAACCCGUGAGUAAAGCGGCGUACGGGUGAGUAACACGUGGGUAAUCUACCUUCGAGUGGGGAAUAACCCUGGGAAACCGGGGCUAAUACCGCAUAAGCCUGAAAAGGGAAAGCCCCUAUUGUAAAAGACGGGGGCGCUGGAAGAGGAGCCCGCGGCCGAUUAGCUAGUUGGUGAGGUAACGGCCCACCAAGGCGACGAUCGGUAGCCGGCCUGAGAGGGCACACGGCCACACUGGCACUGAAACACGGGCCAGACUCCUACGGGAGGCAGCAGUGGGGAA